ensembl:lincRNA
CUCUGCCUAGGCCUCAGCCUCUGAGAUCCUGUUUAAAUUGUUCUGAGUAGGCUCUGGGCAUUGGUAUUUUCAAAAUGAAUAGCGUGGCUGGCAACCACUGGCUUGGAGUUUGUAUGCAUACCUGGCAGUGAUUAAUAGGGAUACAGAAUACAUUUUAAAGGGCAAAAUCCUAGGAGGCCCUUAGGGCUCUGACUCCAUUUGGCAGUGUCAGACAUGGCAUUCCCAAGGUUGACUUCCACAGGAACAAAAAUAAGUCCAACUCAGGCCAGAGAGGUGCCCCCCUGCCUCCCGACAUCCUACUCAUACCUGAUUACCCAACAAUCACCCCGUGACUCAUUUUCACAGCCUACACCUUUGAUCAGGCAGCUCUGAGACCUCACACAACACCUGCUCUUUUUCUACCUGUCAGAUCCUACUCAUCCCACUCCGUCUGGAGCCAGGUAAACAGGAGGUGGGGCAAUACACGUUCCAUAAAUCACGAUUACUAAAUGAAUUAUGCCUCUGCGGCUCAGGGGCGACUUUAGCAGUGCUGGUAUGCUCUUACUUGCCUUGUUGUUGUUGAUGUUGGUCAGUUGCUCAGUCGUGUCCUACUCUUUGUGACCUCAUGGACUAUAGAGCAUGCCAGGCUCUUCUGUCCAUGAGAUAUUCCCAGACAAGAAUACUGGAGUGGGUUGCCAUUUCCUUCUCCAGGGGAUCUUCCCCACCCAGGGAUCGAACUCAUGUCUUCUGCAUUGGCAGGUGGAUUCUUCACCAUCGAGUCACCAGGGAAGCCCUUCCCUUGCCUGUUAUGAACAAAAUGACGGUAACACUGAAUACAAUAUCUCUAUCCACGGAAACACUACCUUGUUCGGUUUCAAGUUUUCAAGCACAGGUGGUUUGGCAUUCUUUGAGACACAAGCUCACUGUUCAAGAUUCCAAAGGGGGAGAAAAAUCAGAAGUCCAGGCCUCACUGAAGUUGAAGGUUUGGAUGAUGCAAAUCCGUUUUGGCUCACAAUGUGUCUGGACUUCAACCAGACCAAAGAAUAUUCUGAUUUAUUAAAUGGAUCUCUAAGUCAAAUAAAGUAGCUGAGCUAAGGAAAUGUGGUUCUGGCCUCUGUGCUUGGGUCCUAAGGAGGAAAUAAGCCAAUGACAGGUGGAUCUUUAAUUCCGUUCCAUAGACAUGCCAUUGUUAUUUCAAUUUACAUCUAUCUAAUCGUGUUUUUUCCUCUUGUCCAUAAUGCUCUUUUCCUCUUAUCUCCUAAUUCAUGCAAACUCUAUAGAUUCUUCAAGAUUUUUCUCUGUAAUUUUCUUGCUCUUAAUUUAUCCAGUAAAUCCAUAAUACAUGAAUAUGAGCCGAAUGCAGCUGCCAAACACUGUUCCAUAUUUCACUUGCAUCCACAAUAGCUGCUCUACAUGCCACGUUUUCCUUGCAACUCUUCCUUUCCUAAGCCUAUAACAGGUAUUUAAUAAAUAGAUUAGAAACACGAGUAAUUAUAGAUACGGAUCAGGCAUUUAGAAAAUGAUCUCUCAACUGUCAAUGAAGAACAAAAUAGAAAUCUCUUGCCUCACUGAUUAAAAACAAUUCAUAAGGACGAAUGAAUUUGGAUUUUCUCACCACAGGACCUUUCAAAAAGAAAAGCUUUUGUGAGUUUUGAGCUUUGCCAUUGUAGCACUUAUACUGAGCACAAAAUCCUCA